UACGUCAUGAACAUGAUGUUGAUUCGGAUAAAAUGCUAUGUAGAAGCGUUACACAUGCAAAUAUCUCAACUAUAAUAAUACUCUAAGGGUAUUAUAUAGAAAGGGAUGUGUUAAGGUGAGUAUAAUAGAUAUGUAAAAGUAUCUUAUUAGAUGAAGGUAUUAGUUAAUUAACUAGCCGUAGACCUAUAGUCGGUGAUGGAAGUCACAACGAUCACAUUGGUAUAAAGCCAACUACUAUUAGUAGCAGCAGUGGGGAAUUAUUGACAAUGACCUAACGGUUGAUCAUGCUAUCUAUAAGAGAUUUAAUAACUUAUAUUACUUAAUAUAUAUAUUUAUAUAUAUAUUAUAUAUUAUAUUAACUAUUAUAAUAUCUCAGCUUCAUAUUAAAGAAUGAUUGAUAUGAAAGUGAAGUUCUGACCAAAUGAUGUGCCAGCAGUCGCGGUUAGACAUCAAGAGCAAGCAUUAAUCUACAUUGGCCUAAAGGAUCCGUAGGUUUAAUAAUACAUCAUUUGGAUGUAUCUAUAGAAUUUAUUAAAUGUAUAAUGAAAUAUAACUUUAGGGAUAAAAUACUAUGAUAGUUAUAGGACAGCAUAGAAUAUACAGAAAAUAAAUUGACACUGAGGGAUGAAAGCUAUAGUAGUGACAUGGAUUCGGUACCCAUUUAAUUAUAGCUGUGAACUAUGUAUACUAUAAAAUAGAUAAGCGAAGGCUUAAAGUAUACCGCCAGACUAGUACGUUCGCAAGGAUGAAAUGCAAGACAUUAGACGGUUAUAUAUAUAUGCAGUGGAGUAUACUGUUUAAUUGGACAAUACCCCUAAAACCUUACCUACUCUUGAAUAUAUUUUAUUAUUUAUAAUAACUUAUACAGGCGUUACAUUGUUGUCGUCAGUUCAUGCUUUGUGGUAUCUUAUUAAGUUAUUUAAUGAACAAAACCCUCGGUCGUAUGACUAUGUAUAUCUGACAGGAUAUAGGAAGUAGAGGCUAAAGACUAAUCAUCAUGACCCUUAUGAGUAGGGCCACAGGUGUACUACUAUCUCUUAUAUAGUUAUAUAUAUCUUAAUAUAUAUAUUUAUAUAUAUAUUUAAUUAGAUAUAAUAUUAAAUAUAAGAUAUUAUGAUAAAUUUUCUUUAAAUUGGAUUAUUACCUGUAACUCGGUAAUAUGAAAAAGGAAUUGCUAGUAAUCAUAGACAAGAGUGCUAUGGUGAACUAUACAUAUAUUUCGCACUAAUCACUCAUCAAUAGCAUAGAUAAUGUCUUAAUACGCCUUUGUGUAUUAAUGAGCAUAUGAUAUGCUAUAAGUUGAAAUACAGUUCGAGUAAGGGAACUUGCUCGGGAUUUAUACUAAUA